rnacentral:rRNA from 1 species
GGAGACAAGAGGGCAUAUUGUUGUUUUUAAAAGACCUAGCAAUAGGUAUGCUUAGGGAGGAGCUUGCGUCACAUUAGUUAGUUGGUGGGGUAAAGGCCUACCAAGACUAUGAUGUGUAGCCGGGCUGAGAGGUUGAACGGCCACAUUGGGACUGAGACACGGCCCAAACUCCUACGGGAGGCAGCAGUAGGGAAUUUUCGGCAAUGGAGGAAACUCUGACCGAGCAACGCCGCGUGAACGAUGAAGUAUUUCGGUACGUAAAGUUCUUUUAUUAGGGAAGAAUAAAUGAUGGAAAAAUCAUUCUGACGGUACCUAAUGAAUAAGCCCCGGCUAACUAUGUGCCAGCAGCCGCGGUAAUACAUAGGGGGCAAGCGUUAUCCGGAAUUAUUGGGCGUAAAGGGUGCGUAGGCGGUUAAAUAAGUUUAUGGUCUAAGUGCAAUGCUCAACAUUGUGAUGCUAUAAAAACUGUUUAGCUAGAGUAAGAUAGAGGCAAGUGGAAUUCCAUGUGUAGUGGUAAAAUGCGUAAAUAUAUGGAGGAACACCAAGUAGCGAAGGCGGCUUGCUUGGGUCUUUACUGGACGCUGAGGC